AGUGGGUGUAACGUACCUACUAGCCUACGACGGGUACGGGUUGUGAGAGCAAGAGCCCGGAGAUGGAUUCUGAGACACGAAUCCAGGCCCUACGGGGUGCAGCAGGCGCGAAAACUUUACAAUGCGGGAAACCGUGAUAAGGGGAUCUCGAGUGCCAGCAUAUAAUGUUGGCUGUCCAGAUGCCUAAAAAGCAUCUGUUAGCAAGGGCCGGGCAAGACCGGUGCCAGCCGCCGCGGUAACACCGGCGGCCCGAGUGGUAACCGCUAUUAUUGGGUCUAAAGGGUCUGUAGCCGGCCAGGUAAGUCCCUUGGGAAAUCUGGCAGCUCAACUGUCAGGCUGCUAGGGGAUACUGUUUGGCUUGGGACCGGGAGAGGUGAGAGGUACCUUGGGGGUAGGGGUGAAAUCUUGUGAUCCUCGAGGGACCACCAGUGGCGAAGGCGUCUCACCAGAACGGGUCCGACGGUAAGGGACGAAAGCUAGGGGCACGAACCGGAUUAGAU
rnacentral:rRNA from 1 species